rnacentral:rRNA from 1 species
AUUGAACGCUGGCGGAAUGCUUCACACAUGCAAGUUGAACGAUGAACCUUAGCUUGCUAGGGGGAUUAGUGGCGAACGGGUGAGUAACAUAUCGGAACGUACCUAGUAAGGGGGGAUAACUAGUCGAAAGAUUAGCUAAUACCGCAUACGCCCUGAGGGGGAAAGGAGGGGAUCUUCGGACCUUACGUUAUUAGAGCGGCCGAUAUCUGAUUAGCUAGUUGGUGGGGUAAAGGCCUACCAAGGCGACGAUCAGUAGCUGGUCUGAGAGGACGACCAGCCACACUGGAACUGAGACACGGUCCAGACUCCUACGGGAGGCAGCAGUGGGGAAUUUUGGACAAUGGGGGCAACCCUGAUCCAGCCAUUCCGCGUGAGUGAAGAAGGCCUUCGGGUUGUAAAGCUCUUUCGCAAGGGAAGAAAACUUACAUUCUAAUAAAGUGUGAGGCUGACGGUACCUUGAUAAGAAGCACCGGCUAACUACGUGCCAGCAGCCGCAGUAA